rnacentral:lncRNA from 1 species
CUUACCUUUCUUACUCUCAUCUCUAGACCUCCUUCUCUCCCUCCCUUCUACCCUUCUCUCCAAGUGGCCAUGGCUGGUCUCCCUCUUUCUACCUUCUCUCUUUCUCCUUGCCUUUCUACAAUUAAGCUCUAAAACCAUAGACUGUCUCUGCUCAUCAAGGCCCGCUGUACUUGAAAGAUGGGAUGGGCUUUCCCCUAAAGAGCUGCUUCUAACCUCCCAACGGAAGGCCUUCCUGUGCUCCAGCAACUGACAGAACCAAGAACUCUUGCCCUCAUGAGAACUGUCCAGCGCCCCCUCUCUCCCUGCCCUCUCCUUCCUUUGGCCCCAGAGACCUCAGACUGCUCCUUGUCUACCCCCCACUGGACUAGGGUUCCCUGGCUUCCCAUAGCCAGACACCCACCCGGCGCCACUUGGAAAGCAUGCAGCAGUCCUCCGGCAUCCACCCGCCCAGAGCACCAGAACUCCGGUGGGACUCAGGUUUUCCCCCACCUCCUUUAGAGAACUGAUCUAAUAUGGAAACAAUUUGUUCUAUACUUCAAGUGAAAGAAUACUUAUUGAUUAAUGCUGCAUUGGAGGUCAUCACUGGGGAUAUUAUCCAAUGAAGACAUUCUCAUGAUUCAUCAUGUGCCAAACACUACCUUGUUAUCACUUAUUAUUAGACAAUGAAAACAGGGAUCAUGACAGAGUUAUACACCAGAGUCUUGUUUCCAAGCAAUGCAAAACAAAACACCGAAAAAAAAUAACUGGACCAUUGUAUAUUUAAGACUGGACACUGAAGAUUUACCAUUUUGUAACAUUCAGUUGCGACUCUCGGGAAAAGCAGACAAUCAAGCAUGGACAAGUGGAUAAAGCAAGUCCAGGACACUCAUCAUCAUCAGGAUAUCACACGACA